rnacentral:rRNA from 1 species
UACGUAGGGUGCAAGCGUUAAUCGGAAUUACUGGGCGUAAAGCGUGCGCAGGCGGUGAUGUAAGUCAGGUGUGAAAUCCCCGGGCUUAACCUGGGAACUGCAUUUGUGACUGCCUCGCUGGAGUGCGGCAGAGGGGGAUGGAAUUCCGCGUGUAGCAGUGAAAUGCGUAGAUAUGCGGAGGAACACCGAUGGCGAAGGCAAUCCCCUGGGCCUGCACUGACGCUCAUGCACGAAAGCGUGGGGAGCAAACAGG